rnacentral:lncRNA from 1 species
AUGGAACAUAUUAUAAAGCCCAUUAAUUUAUCCAAACCUUCACUUCUCAUCACUGAAGGGCAGCUACCACAGAUCAGCCAAUAUUUGGACACAGCACCGGAGCCACCGUGGUCUUCCCGUCCACCAGAGACUGCCUAUCGGCAGCAGUCGGAUGUGCCGACACUCCAGCUGCCCGCACGGCCGCCCUGCGUGGCCACUGCAGCUCCCAGGGGUUACACUCCUCCCGGAGACCAGCAGAGCAUUCCCACUGCCACAUCCAGCAAGGUCCUGCAGAGCAUUCCCACUGCCACAUCCAGCAAAGUCCUGCAGAGCAUUCCCACUGCCACAUCCAGCAAAGUCCUGCAGGGCAUUCCCACUGCCACAUCCAGCAAAGUCCUGCCCCUCACCUAUGGUGUGUGUGUUGACAGCACACACCAUGAGGACAAGGAGAAUUUGCAGCCAGACCAAAUGCUGAAGGAAGUCCCUCCAGACUGUUAUGCUGGUGGGAAGCUCAUAACACAGGUGCUGGGCGAGAGCCACAACCAUUGGAAUUACAAAGAACAGGGGCCAAACCUGGCACUGUGGAACAGCAGUGACACAGGGGAGACAGUUCUCUUAGAGGGGAGCCCUGAGCAAACACAGCAGCUGCUGCUGCAGACUGACGGGAUGGGAAGGAAAGUGCCUGUAUCCUGGCUGCCACUGCCUUUGCUGGAACAAGGAGGAUGCUACAGACAACAGACAGACCUGCCUGCAGUGAGAGCUGACACAGACUGUGCUCCGGAGGACAAGUUGUUGUCACCUCUGUCAGCAGCUCUCCUUUUCUCAGUCAAUUCUGGCAACAGCUUCCUUGAAGAAAACACCCCGGAGCGGUGGGUAUUGCCAGGUUCAUUCUCACAUCCUGCAAAUAAACUGCAGUUCCCAGAGACUCAAGAAAUGGAAAUGUUAACAGCAAUAAAGGAGCUCAGCUGCACAAAACUGAGCGUGCCCCAAGACACUGCCGCAGGCCGGGACAGCGGCACUCCUCUCACUAUGCUGUUCAAAGACCUGGACUUAAAAGUAAUGUGGGAUCAGGAUGAAAACAUGGAAUUUUAUUAG